CUACGGGUCGCUGCAGUGGGGAAUAUUGCGCAAUGGGGGAAACCCUGACGCAGUGACGCCGUGUGAGUGAUGAAGGUUUUCGGAUCGUAAAGCUCUGUCAGACGGGAAGAAUAAGAACAGUAAAAAUAUUGCUGUUUGAUGACGGUACCGUCAGAGGAAGCACCGGCUAACUCCGUGCCAGCAGCCGCGGUAAUACGGAGGGUGCAAACGUUGUUCGGAAUUACUGGGCGUAAAGCGCAUGUAGGCGGAUAUGUAGGUCAGAUGUGAAAUCCCUUGGCUCAACCAAGGAAGUGCAUCUGAAACCCCAUAUCUUGAGUACGAGAGAGGGAAGUGGAAUUCCCAGUGUAGAGGUGAAAUUCAUAGAUAUUGGGAAGAACACCGGUGGCGAAGGCGGCUUUCUGGCUCGUAACUGACGCUGAGAUGCGAAAGCGUGGGGAGCAAACAGGAUUAGAUACCCCUGUAGUC
rnacentral:rRNA from 1 species